rnacentral:rRNA from 1 species
CGGCGAAGUGAAGCGGCAACAGCUUCAAAUUUUGAAAUCUGGGCCCCCGGGCCCGAGUUGUAAUUUGUAGAGGAUGCUUUUGGUGACGCGCUUACCGAGUCCCCUGGAAUGGGGCGCCACAGAGGGUGAGAGCCCCGUAUGGUUUGCCGCCGAGCCUCUGUAAAGCUCCUUCGACGAGUCGAGUAGUUUGGGAAUGCUGCUCUAAAUGGGAGGUAAAUUUCUUCUAAAGCUAAAUACCGGCCAGAGACCGAUAGCGCACAAGUAGAGUGAUCGAAAGAUGAAAAGCACUUUGAAAAGAGGGUUAAAUAGCACGUGAAAUUGUUGAAAGGGAAGCGCUUGUGACCAGACUCGCGCCGGGCGGAUCAUCCAGCGUUCUCGCUGGUGCACUCCGCCCGGCUCGGGCCAGCAUCGGUUUUCGCCGGGGGACAAAAGCCUCGGGAACGUGGCCCCCUUCGGGGGGUGUUAUAGCCCGUGGCAGAAUACCCCGGCGGGGACCGAGGACCGCGCUUCGGCAAGGAUGCUGGCGUAAUGGUCAUCAGCGAC